CCUCCACAGCCGCCAUCGCCACCACCACCACCCACCCACCCGUCAACCUUCCCUCCACCCCACCCACUCCCGCACCACCAUGUCCCGCACCAAGGAGACCGCCCGCGCGAAGCGCACCAUCACGUCGAAGAAGAGCAAGAAGGCGCCGAGCGCGGCGUCCGGCGUGAAGAAGUCGCACCGCCGCUGGCGCCCGGGCACCUGCGCGAUCCGCGAGAUCCGCAAGUUCCAGAAGAGUACGAGCCUGCUGAUCCAGUGCGCGCCGUUCCAGCGCCUGGUGCGCGAGGUGUCGAGCGCGCAGAAGGAGGGUCUGCGCUUCCAGAGCAGCGCUAUCAUGGCGCUGCAGGAGGCGACGGAGGCGUACGUUGUGUCGCUGAUGGCGGACACGAACCUCGCCUGCAUCCACGCGAAGCGCGUGACGAUCCAGCCGAAGGACAUCCAGCUGGCGCUGCGCCUGCGCGGUGAGCGCCACUAAGCCCACACCCUCCCUCCUCUCUGUCUCUCUUAGAUCUCUUUCAAAGGUCGUGGUGGAGAUGAACAUCUCGGCUCAUCUCCUCCCGGAGAGGGAGAAGCACUGGGCCUCUGCACGCGGCAGCGGCACGCACACGCGCAGAUGUCUGCGUGUGUAAGGGGCGUGGCAGGCAGCGUGUGUGCCUCCACGCUGCCGCGCACGCCGUAUCAUAGAUGCACUUCUGUUUUUUAUUAUUUUAAAUGCGCCAUGCAAAGGGGGGAGGGGAAUAUGUUCUGCGUAAUGUGCGCGCACUCGAUCUCUGUGACCCGGCGAUGGCGUGCGUGAGAGAGGGCCGUGCGUGGGUGCGAUGGACGGCGUCGUCCUCACACUCCGUGCUGGCCGGCAGCUGAGGAGAGAGCGCAGAGGACGCAAAGGUAGCGAGCAAGGAGCGGCACGCCCACGCAGUGCGCGCGCGUAUAGGUGGAUGCCUCUCUGCGCGAUGCGUGCGUGUGCCUGUGCCGCGCAAGUAACGAAUGACGCGCCAGCGGUGCUGCUGCCGCUGCUUUCCGCCCACCUCAUCG
rnacentral:misc_RNA from 1 species